GCCACUGGGGAGCUGGCACUACAGCUCCCGGCGUGCACUGCGCCGGCAGGGUAGGCUUCCGGGUUCUGGUUUAAAUCCCCCCUGGGAGGGUGCGGGCUGGGGUGUGGAGGGGGACGCGGCGGGACCCCGGCGAGGGGCGGCGGGUCUCCUUGGGACGCGGGGCACAAAGGGGGCGAUGGGCCUGCCCUGCCGCCUCGUAGCGCAGCUGUCGAGCGAGCCGGGCGGCCGAUGUUUUGAAUUAAGGAAGCCCCAAGUGUCUCUCAGUGCAUGUGUGAUGCACCUGUUUUGUUUGGAGUGCUCUGUGCCCUGCUUCUGCCAUCAUUUGUAUGCUGGGAAGUGCCUGUGUUUGGGUGAGGUAGUGGGAAAAAAAGGUAAGUUCCAGAUUAACCAGCACUUCUCCACUGAAAUUAUUAUUUCAGAUAUAUAUUCUGCAUUCAGCAGCAGAAGCAAAGACUUGGUGACAUUAACCAUGUAGCACUAGAUCCUAAGGACCAUUCAAGCACAAUUUAAAUUAAUUAAGACAGUCUGAGGAAUCAGGUGAAACUUCAUCAAGAUAAGCUACUAGAAAGUCAGCUUUUGCCAGCACAGGCAGCACUAUAAUUGUAAGCAAUUGAUUAGAACUGUGAUUGUCCUAAUCAACAGGGUUACUUAGCUUUUAUCUGACCUUUAAUUUGUUGAACUAAACUGAAGCAAGUUUGAUUUAGGUCAAAAUAAGAAUUCACACAGCCCUU
rnacentral:lncRNA from 12 species